ensembl:processed_transcript
UGCAUUCUCUAAGUGAACAAUCAGAUUCAUUAAGACAUUCCUGCUGACUUUAGCUCAUAUCUAUAUUUCUGUCCACAGGCGUGUCUCCCCCUCCUGGAGCAGUGCUGGUGUUGCACUCGUUGCUUCUUGAGUUUCCAUUGUCGAUGGCCUUCGCUGAACAGCUGCUAACCUACAGUGUAGGAGAAACCAUAGAGCGCUCUGAGGAUGAGCUGGACACGGUGCCCACUUCUGUGCUCAUUCAGGUCGUGGAGCUGCUAGAACUGUACUGAGUGAGAAAACAACCGUCCUCAAGCCAAAAUCUCCAGAGAAGACCAAACCCGAUGAAAAAGACCCUGAGAAAUCUCCUGCCAAAAAUCUUGAAGGUCAUUAAUAUUACUUUUCUGAUUUCUGAUUUUAUGUGGAAAUUAUAAACACAAACCUCAUAUAUGCUCAUCUAAAUGUAAAAGAUGUUAAAGGGACAGUUAAAUACUGAAAAUUCCUCAUCCGCCACUUGUUUAAAACCUGUUUGAGUUUCUUUUUUCUGUUCAGUCAGAAUUAUUAGCCCCCCUGUCUAUUCUUUCCCCAAUUUCUGUUUAACAGAGAGCAGAUUUCUUCAACACAUUUCUAAACAUAAUAGUUUUAAUAACUCAUUUCUAGUAGCUGAUCUAUUUUAUCUUUGCCAUGAUGACAGUAAAUAAUAUGUGACUAGAUAUUUAACUAGGCAGGUUUGGGUAAUUAGGCAAGUUAUUGUAUAACGAUGGUUUGUUCUGUAGACUAUCAAAAAAUAUAUAGC